rnacentral:rRNA from 1 species
UGCCAGCCGCCGCGGUAAUACGGAGGGUGCGAGCGUUAAUCGGAAUUACUGGGCGUAAAGCGCACGCAGGCGGUUUGCUAAGCUAGAUGUGAAAGCCCCGGGCUCAACCUGGGAAUUGCGUUUAAUACUGGUGAGCUAGAGUACGAGAGAGGAAAGUGGAAUUCCUAGUGUAGAGGUGAAAUUCGUAGAUAUUAGGAAGAACACCAGUGGCGAAGGCGACUUUCUGGCUCGUAACUGACGCUGAGGCACGAAAGCGUGGGGAGCAAACAGGAUUAGAUA